GUUAAACAGAACAGAGAUGGAGUGACUCCCCUGAUGCUGGCUGUAAGGGAUGUGGAUCUGUUUGAAGAACUACAGACGCCGUGGGACUAUCAACCUGUGGAAGUGUUGAAGUAACUUGUCUCUUCCGUUAAAGAAUCAGCUGAGACUAUAAAGGCACAAAAGGAUCAUGCAGACAUCCACCAAGUCUUGAGUGUUUCAACGUCUCUUCUCUCGAGUGAGAUCAACUCCUCUGCCAAAGACUUCAGCAGGUCAUCUGUGAGAGGUCCAUCACCAACCUCCUCUAGAAGCCUCUGGUUCAAAGGUGACGCGGUUCUGUCACUUGUAUUAUAUGGGCCAUCACAGUGACUUUCUGUUGUUCAUAAGGGUGUGUCCUCAGGUGAACUACAUUACUCUAACCAAUAUUGCUUAGAUGAUGCUAUCACAUUGACAAAAGAUUCUGAGAGAGAGCUUCUGGGUAAAGGAGCUUAUGGAAUGGUGUAUUGAGGGUUAACCAGUCAAGGUCAGCUGAUUGCAGUAAAACAGGGGGCAUUGGAUGCUUAAACUUCAGAGAUGGCAGAAAAAAAAAAGGAGUGUGAACACCUGGAGAGGGAAUUGGGUCUUCUUAAGACCCUUCAUUACACUAACAUUGUUGGUUUCUUGGGCACAGAUCUCCAUUAAAAUGCUGUAAGCAUCUUCAUGGAUUAUGUUCCAGGUGGGUCUAUCUCUAAUAUCCUCAGCCGUUUCGGACCCUUGCCAGAGAAGGUCUUCAUUCUAAACACUCAACAAAUUCUGGAAAGUGUUGCCUAUCUUCAUGCUAACAGGGUUAUCCAUAGAGAUCUGAAGGGGAACAACAUUAUGCCUAUGCCCAAUGGAGUGGUCAAGCUAAUCGAUUUUGGUUGUGCUUGCCAUCUUAGCUGUCUUCAGACUUCAACUGGAAGAGUGAUGUUCUGAAGUCUGUGUAUGGUACUCCAUACUAGAUGGCGCCAGAGGUCAUGAGUGAGACAGGUCUUGGAAGAAAAUCAGACAUCUGGAGCUUCGACUGCACUGUGUUUGAAAUGGUCAAAGAAAAGCCACCCCUCGCACACAUGAACAGGAUGGCAGCACUAUUUUUUUAGAUUGGGACUCAAAAGGGCUCAAUGCCAUCUCUGUCUGAUGACUUCUCUACAAAUGCAAAGGGCUUCGUCAAGGCUUGCCUAACCAGAGAUCCAAAGCAAUGACUUUCAGUAGAGGAACUGUUAGAACAUCCAUUCAUCUUUCAUCACAGCCAAGCCUACAGUAGGCCAAUGAACUGAAAACUCGAUUCACCAAAUCAAAAGGUGACUUUUAAAAACCAUGAUGCAAAGCUAACUGACAUUGUGACCCAACAAAAUUUAACAUGGGGAAAUAAAAAUCUAAUUAAUAAAAUAAUAGUGAAGAUCUUUAAAUCCUUAUUUGAUAAAUGUGCCAAU